AUACCUAAUCAGUUAAAAAUCCCAUAAUGCACAUGUUUCAGAUAAAACAUUUCAAACAAUUAUUUUGCUCUGCAACUUGCCAUUUGAACUUGCCCCUAAAAUCCAGAUGACAUAUUAGCUCUCAUUGGAGAGAGAGAGGAAAAUAUUGUAGUCAGAGGCUUUAAUCUUGUCAAUCAAACAAAACUGUGAAAGGACUGGUUCCUUGUUCAAGUGGUAUAAUAUGCUAUUACAGAAAAAUGGAGUGUGGUAGGAAGUUUUUCUCAGGUCUGAAGGUAAUGCUGUGUGUGAAGGCUGCUUCCUCUGCCUUCCCAGGAAGGUGACCAUGACCAAAAGGAGCAGAACAAGUUAACGUCACUGUGACAAUUAGCCCAGAUGAGUUGGAACAUCUCUGAGACUCUGCAAAGAAGAAAGAUUCUAUAUUCUUAGUGUUUUCAGUGAUGAUUUGAAGACAUCUUUCCUGAUAAAGUCAUUUCAAAGAGACAUACAUCCUCCAAUCCUAUCUCUUCGGUGUGUUUAUAGCCCUUGUGCUCUUCAUGUUUAUCUCUGUAAAACAGCAUGAUUUAACAAGACUGGAGCCCCAC
rnacentral:lncRNA from 1 species